rnacentral:rRNA from 1 species
UACACUCCUGCGGGAGGCAGCAGUGGGGAAUAUUGGACCAUGGGCGCAAGCCUGAUCCAGCCAUGCCGCGUGAGUGAUGAAGGCCCUAGGGUUGUAAAGCUCUUUCACCGGUGAAGAUAAUGACGGUAACCGGAGAAGAAGCCCCGGCUAACUUCGUGCCAGCAGCCGCGGUAAUACGAAGGGGGCUAGCGUUGUUCGGAUUUACUGGGCGUAAAGCGCACGUAGGCGGACUAUUAAGUCAGGGGUGAAAUCCCGGGGCUCAACCCCGGAACUGCCUUUGAUACUGGUAGUCUUGAGUUCGAGAGAGGUGAGUGGAAUUCCGAGUGUAGAGGUGAAAUUCGUAGAUAUUCGGAGGAACACCAGUGGCGAAGGCGGCUCACUGGCUCGAUACUGACGCUGAGGUGCGAAAGCGUGGGGAGCAAACAGGAUUAGAAACCCUGGUAGUCCCAUGA